GUCCUGAGGGAAGGCUGAUCUGGUAGAGCAUGAGACACUUAAUCUGAGGGUCGUGGGUUCGAGACCCACACUUUGGACG